rnacentral:rRNA from 1 species
GUAGGUGGCAAGCGUUGUCCGGAAUUAUUGGGCGUAAAGCGCGCGCAGGCGGGUUCUUUAAGUCUGGUGUGAAAGCCCACGGGCUCAACCGUGGAGGGUCAUUGGAAACUGGAGAACUUGAGUACAGAAGAGGAAAGCGGAAUUCCACGUGUAGCGGUGAAAUGCGUAGAGAUGUGGAGGAACACCAGUGGCGAAGGCGGCUUUCUGGUCUGUAACUGACGCUGAGGCGCGAAAGCGUGGGGAGCAAACAGGAUUAGAUACCCUGGUAGUCCACGCCGUAAACGAUGAGUGCUAAGUGUUAGGGGGUUUCCGCCCCUUAGUGCUGCAGCUAACGCAUUAAGCACUCCGCCUGGGGAGUACGGCCGCAAGGCUG